GAUGAACGCUGGCGGCGUGCCUAAUACAUGCAAGUCGAACGCUGGAACUCUAGCUUGCUAGAUUGAAGGAGUGGCGAACGGGUGAGUAAUACAUAAGCAACCUACCCACGAAGACUGGGAUAAUCUCUGGAAACGGGGACUAAUACCGGAUAGGUAAUCGGAAGGCAUCUUCUGAUUAUUAAAGGUUAAAAACACUGGUGGAUGGGCUUAUGGCGUAUUAGUUAGUUGGUGAGGUAACGGCCCACCAAGACGAUGAUGCGUAGCCGGCCUGAGAGGGUGAACGGCCACAUUGGGACUGAGACACGGCCCAGACUCCUACGGGAGGCAGCAGUAGGGAAUUUUCGGCAAUGGGGGAAACCCUGACCGAGCAACGCCGCGUGAGUGAUGACGGCCUUCGGGUUGUAAAGCUCUGUUGUAAGGGAAGAACGGUAGAUAGAGAAUAUCUAAAUGACGGUACCUUACCAGAAAGCCACGGCUAACUACGUG
rnacentral:rRNA from 1 species